GACGAACGCUGGCGGCGUGCCUAAUAUAUGCAAGUCGAGCGGACCGGAUUGGGGCUUGCCUUGAUUCGGUCAGCGGCGGACGGGUGAGUAACACGUGGGCAACCUGCCCGCGAGACCGGGAUAACUCCGGGAAACCGGAGCUAAUACCGGAUAACACCGAAGACCGCAUGGUCUUCGGUUGAAAGGCGGCCUUUGGGCUGUCACUUGCGGAUGGGCCCGCGGCGCAUUAGCUAGUUGGUGAGGUAACGGCUCACCAAGGCGACGAUGCGUAGCCGGGCUGAGAGGGUGACCGGCCACACGGGGACUGAGACACGGCGCAGACUCCUACGGGAGGCAGCAGUAGGGAAUCUUCCGCAAUGGGCGAAAGCCUGACGGAGCGACGCCGCGUGAGCGAAGAAGGCCUUCGGGUCGUAAAGCUCUGUUGUGAGGGACGAAGGAACGCCGUUCGAAGAGGGCGGCGCGGUGACGGUACCUCACGAGAAAGCCCCGGCUAACUACGUGCCAGCCGCCGCCGUAA
rnacentral:rRNA from 1 species